UACAGAGGUCUCAAGCGUUGUUCGGAUUCAUUGGGCGUAAAGCGUGCGCAGGCGGUUGUGCAAGACAGAUGUGAAAUCCCCGGGCUUAACCUGGGAACUGCAUUUGUGACUGCACAGCUGGAGUGCGGCAGAGGGGGAUGGAAUUCCGCGUGUAGCAGUGAAAUGCGUAGAUAUGCGGAGGAACACCGAUGGCGAAGGCAAUCCCCUGGGCCUGCACUGACGCUCAUGCACGAAAGCGUGGGGAGCAAACAGG
rnacentral:rRNA from 1 species